UUGGGAAUUUUGCACAAUGGGGGAAACCCUGAUGCAGCGACGCCGCGUGAUUUAGAAGGCCUUCGGGUUGUAAAAAUCUUUUUUACGGGAUGAAAAUGACAGUACCGUAAGAAUAAGGUCCGGCUAAAUACGUGCCAGCAGCCGCGGUAAUACGUAUGGACCGAGCGUUGUCCGGAAUCAUUGGGCGUAAAGGGUACGUAGGCGGCCUAGUAAGUUAGAAGUGAAAUAAUAUAGCUCAACUAUAUAAAGCUUUUAAAACUGCUAGGCUUGAGAGAUGGAAGGGAAAGUGGAAUUCCUAGUGUAGCGGUGAAAUGCGCAGAUAUUAGGAAGAAUACCGGUGGCGAAGGCGACUUUCUGGUCAUCAUCUGACGCUGAGGUACGAAAGCGUGGGUAGCAAACAGG
rnacentral:rRNA from 1 species